CUACGUGCCAGCAGCCGCGGUAAUACGGAAGGUCCAGGCGUUAUCCGGAUUUAUUGGGUUUAAAGGGAGCGUAGGCUGGAGAUUAAGUGUGUUGUGAAAUGUAGACGCUCAACGUCUGAAUUGCAGCGCAUACUGGUUUCCUUGAGUACGCACAACGUUGGCGGAAUUCGUCGUGUAGCGGUGAAAUGCUUAGAUAUGACGAAGAACUCCGAUUGCGAAGGCAGCUGACGGGAGCGCAACUGACGCUGAAGCACGAAAGCGUGGGUAUCAAACAGGAUUAGAUACCCUGGUAGUCCACGCAGUAAACGAUGAUAACUGGGCGUAUGCGAUAUACAGUAUGCUCCUAAGCGAAAGCGUUAAGUUAUCCACCUGGGGAGUACGCCGGCAACGGUGAAACUCAAAGGAAUCGACGGGGGCCCGCACAAGCGGAGGAACAUGGGUUUAAUUCGAUGAUACGCGAGGAACCUUACCCGGGAUUGAA
rnacentral:rRNA from 1 species